GACAGAGGGUGCAAACGUUGUUCGGAAUUACUGGGCGUAAAGCGUGCGCAGGCGGCCUUGCAAGUCGGGCGUGAAAUCCCUGGGCUCAACCCAGGAACUGCGUCCAAGACUGGGAGGCUUGAAUCCGGGAGAGGGAUGCGGAAUCCAGGUGUAGCGGUGAAAUGCGCAGAUAUCAGGAGGAACACCGGUGGCGAAGGCGGUUCUCUGGGCAUGAUCUGACGCUGGAGGAGCGAAAGUGUGGGGAGGCGAACAGG
rnacentral:rRNA from 1 species